rnacentral:rRNA from 1 species
GUGGGGAAUAUUGGGCAAUGGGGGAAACCCUGACCCAGCAACGCCGCGUGAAGGAAGAAGGCUUUCGGGUUGUAAACUUCUUUUACCAGGGAAAAACACAAUGAUGGUACCUGGAGAAAAAGCUACGGCUAACUACGUGCCAGCAGCCGCGGUAAUACGUAGGUGGCAAGCGUUGUCCGGAAUUACUGGGUGUAAAGGGCGUGUAGGCGGACUGGCAAGUCAGAUGUGAAAUCCAUGAGCUCAACUCAUGAACUGCAUUUGAAACUGUUGGUCUUGAGUAUCGGAGAGGCAAGCGGAAUUCCUAGUGUAGCGGUGAAAUGCGUAGAUAUUAGGAGGAACACCAGUGGCGAAGGCGGCUUGCUGGACGACAACUGACGCUGAGGCGCGAAAGCGUGGGGAGCAAACAGGAUUAGAUACCCGGGUAGUCC